rnacentral:lncRNA from 1 species
AUGUUAGAAGACACAGGACAUAGGAUGGUCAGCCCGAAGACCAGUCCAGUUUCGGAAACUGAGGCCUGCUCAGAGCCAUCCAAGAGCAUUUGGGAGAUGACGUGCAUUUCCUGGGAUAUGUUGAGCUCUCCUUCCACUGCCUCUGUUGUGGGUGGAGGAGAGGAUGAAAGAAGCGCCCCCAACCCCUAAUGUGCCAGGACCGAGGACUCUCGAGGUCUGUGAACAAGGAUUACAAGGAUGAAGCAUAGGCACAGAAUGUGACAGAGGAAAGAUCAGAGUCGAGGGAGACAAUCCCAGCAGGCACAGGAGGGUGGCAGCUUAGGCUUGUCUCGGCCUUCAGAGAGACAUGGACAAAGGAGACAGACAGGAGGUAAGUGUACCAGAAGAUGAAGUACACACUAAUAAGAAGGAGGAAGACAAGAAGGAAAAAGGUGAGAAUGCUUAGUGUACUAUAAACUAAGAAGAAACCAGUAGAAUGUGUAACCCUCUCUGGGGAAAAAAAAUAGGUAUGACUGAGGAAAAGUUGUAAAUACGCAUACUGUGUAAGU